AAGGAAUGAUGUGAUCAUAAACUUCAUUGGUCCGUGUUUCUGAAAUCCGUGAUCUCUGUGGAAGUUCUGACCUU